rnacentral:misc_RNA from 1 species
GAGAGAGAGAGAGAGAGAGAGGUGCUGAUUAUGCUGACUUAAAAAUGAUAAGCAUGUUUCUCAUUAAAGUGCAUAAACUUGACAGAGUACAAAUAAAAAGUGCACUGGAUGUUCUGAGGAAAAAAGAAAGCCACCAAGUUUGGAAAGGGUGGACAUGCACGGUCCACCAAGUAUAUGAGGAAACAAAAAAGCAACAAGUCUAUAUUUCAGCCAUGUAAGCAUUUGUAAAGGGUUGACAUGCAGAGUCCACCAAGUUUUAUGUAAUUCAUCAAGCACAGGAAAACAACUACUCUCUAACAAUUACAGUGCAUUGCUUGCUGACUGCAGAUGUAUGUAAAGUAUGUUAUUUGUAUCUUUGUCAAAAUACUUGUUUGAUUUCUUUAAGAUAAUUGAUUAUGACUCUCCCUCAAAUAGGAAACACCUAAACACAGAUUUCUGCAAAAUCCACUAUUAAACACUUUGUAUCAGCAUGAACGCACGCUAGCAAAAGAUAAGCGUUCACAAAAUGUCAACCAGAAAGAGUGCGGCAGAAGUUGAGGAAAGAAGAUACCU